UGUGUGUUCUACCUCCACCACUGUCACAGCAGCUGUGGAACGAGUCUCUUAACCCUCUGAAGGUUUUCAUGGGACAGACUCUGAGAUGCGAUGAAGAUCUCAGUACGGCAAAUGAAGCGACACACCAUAAAGCACGGGAGUCCUAUACUCAUGGCAAACUGAGCAACGGUGAGGGAAGGCAGCAGGUCUUGGUGCGAAAGCAUCUCCUGAAGACAAACCCUGCUGCUGCGUGGUACCUCAGUCUCCUGUGAGAGCAGGAGCUGCUUUGACUCAGCUGCAGAAGCACUCAGAACACAUAACAAAUCACGGAGUAACAAAGGGAAUUAAGAGGCGGUAAUGUGAUACGAUUUAAGAACUUGGAUUAAAUAUUGAAUCAAGCCCUAUGCCCCAUUCAGCCUACAGCCAGUCCCUUCUUUGCUACAGAAUGGCACAGUGGGCCAAAUUCUGUUCCUGCAUUAAUGCGAAUGAGGAGGAAUCACAGUGGAGCUCCACCAGAACAAGCCUGCGAUGGCGAGAGGAGCCCGAAGCUGGAGCAGCAGCGCAUGCCCAGGAGGGAACGGGGUGAGCGGGUCUCCUGACACAGGUGCAGUGUAGGCAGACAGGCCCUAAUUGGUCUGAUCUUACUACCUGCUCAAAAAGCUUUGAACUUUGCACAGGAUGCCUUGGGCCCACAGGAGCCUUGCUCCUCAGGGUGGGGAAUUAGCACGAUGGCUGGAUUGGCCUCCCCCCCACCUCAGUUGGAUUUUAUCAUCCAAUGGGUAAUGGUUUGGUGAUGAACGACUGACAGGUGUGACGAGCUGAUGGGACUGGCUGGGAUGAUACACAUACACUGCUGUUUUACCAGGACAUAAUGUAUUCUGCAGUAGGCAAAGGAUAAAACUCGUAAAACAUUUGUUUUAAGUCUUAAAAUAUCAAAUUCCUCAUAACUAUGGGCUUCCUAAACCUGGCCCUGGUAAUUACAAGUGUUGAGCCAUGAAUAAUUUCAUGCUAGGAGGUGCAUUAAUUUUAAACUCCCUCUGCCUCCUCCAGACAUUGUGAAAGCACAUUACCAGUGCGGACAAGUUUAUGAUCUUAUCCAGGACAACUGGUGCAAUAAUAUGAAAUGAAAACCAAGACAAAAAUGUCAUUGUCUGCGUAUUCCGUACAAAGGGAUCCUGAAGAAAGUUCCCUUUGCAGCCUGAGACCAGGAGAGCUCUGAAGGUGUGAACGAGAUUUAUGGAGCCUUUCCAUCCUGACCAUUGGCAGCUUAGUGUCUAGGGAUUGCUGCAAGGAGCAGGGAGGAGUUUCAACACUGUUGCCCCUCUGAUGGUUUGCAUUUAAUAUCUUUAACCACACUUUCACAAAAAUCCGCUGAGACCUCAGACUGUGUUGAUCCAGAUGUAGCAUGCGUGGUCCCAAAGGAAUUACCCUGCAGACUGGGGUACUUAGGUUUGUAAUCUCACCACCAUUAAGUUCAAGGCAGUGGUAUAAAUGUCAAAGAUCUAUUUGGCAAGCUCUUCCUGCUUAACAUCUACACGUGUUUCUGUCUGUUCACAUUUAUGGCAGCAACCCCGUGGUUUCACAGCUCACUCAGAAGUUACACCUCUGUUGGAGAGGAAACGAGCAAGUCUGACUGAAGAAAAGAUCAGAGAUUUCUAUCUUGGGCAGGGCACCCACCGCGUAUUUACCAUUCAGGCUGCGUCAGAGGCAGCACUGUCAACACCGUCCUCAAGAACCAUGUAUAAUACAGAUGUUAAACACCGAUUAUCCUGCUAGAGAUCAGGUGAAGUUAAAUAAUGGUAAGGGUGUGAUGCUUAACACUGAACAAAUUUGGGAUGAUAUUCUCUCCCCAGCUUUCCCAGGUGCGCCCGUGGUAGGCUCUCUCUCACCCUGUACAAUCGCUACAUCCAUUUGCACAUGCUGUUACAGUAAAGCAUGGUUGAGAGGCAAAAAACGGUCUUGAUUAGCACUUGGAAGCCUCGGUGCUAAUGUGCUGACAAUUUCCUUCUCAGUUUCUUCCCAGUUCCUUUGGACCGAGCUAAACACCCCAAGUGAAGCGUACAGGCGGCUGUGCUUUAAACCACGGCAUGACAGUUCAGGAGUCGCCGACGUUCCUGGGCUGCCUCAUCUAUGACCCUGAAAAAUAAAAUCUUUGGGCGUGUUUAUUAUUGUGCCCUGUUUGGCCUUUAGAACCCUCUAACAGCACUGAAGCCAGCCAUACAUUCUUUUCCUGGGAUUUUUCAUGCUUCCUUUUUACCCUUUAAGAAAAAUGUGCCAGUGUGACAUUAUUACUAGGAUGAAAUUUUCCCCUAGAAAAGCGCAACGAAAACUCUUUAUCAGCUCCCCCCGUUCUCUUCAGAAAGCUGUGGAAGCAGAUGCUUUAAACUCUUUUGUGGGUGAAGGGGAAAGGUUGGAUUACUGAAAAAACAAGGCAGGCUUCAGUGUGUGGAGGAGGCAUUAGGAACUGCUUAGGAUCUCAAACCUGCAACACCUUGAACCCAUCACCAGCCAGAACCGUGAUGGAUGGGAAAGGAUAAAGGGCA